rnacentral:lncRNA from 1 species
CUCAGGACCCGCAGAAGAGUGCUGCGAAGCUUCUUGGUUGGCCUGCCAGGAUGUCAAGUGUUCCCUGAACAAGAGUGGGGAAGGGCAAUGGAGCCAGCUGUUUGGAAUGACAUUACCAUCACUGGUAAGGACAGCCC